UUUGGUCAUUUAGAGGAAGUAAAAGUCGUAACAAGGUUUCCGUAGGUGAACCUGCGGAAGGAUCAUUACCGAGUGAGGGUCCCUUGCGGGCCCAACCUCCCACCCGUGUUUAACUAUACCGUGUUGCUUCGGCGGGCCCACCGGGGCCUGUUCCUGGUCGCCUGGGGGCGUGAAACCCCCCGGGUCCGUGCCCGCCGGAGACCCCUUGAACCCUGAGUGAAUCGAGUGUCGUCUGAGUUUCAGUUAAAUCAUUAAAACUUUCAACAACGGAUCUCUUGGUUCCGGCAUCGAUGAAGAACGCAGCGAAAUGCGAUAAGUAAUGUGAAUUGCAGAAUUCCGUGAAUCAUCGAAUCUUUGAACGCACACUGCGCCCCCUGGCAUUCCGGGGGGCAUGCCUGUCCGAGCGUCAUUGCUACCCUCAAGCGCGGCUUGUGUGUUGGGCGCUGUCCUCCCGGGGACAGGCCUGAAAGGCAGUGGCGGCGUCGCGUCCGGUCCUCGAGCGUAUGGGGCUUUGUCACUCGCUCUGUGAGGUCCGGCCGGCGCCUGUCUACCCCCAAUCUUUUCUCAAGGUUGACCUCGGAUCAGGUAGGGAUACCCGCUGAACUUAAGCAUAUCAAUAAGCGGAGGAA
rnacentral:rRNA from 1 species